rnacentral:rRNA from 1 species
UACGUAGGGGGCGAGCGUUGUCCGGAUUUAUUGGGCGUAAAGAGCUCGUAGGCGGUUUGGCAAGUCGGGUGUGAAAACUCCGGGCUCAACUCGGAGACGCCACUCGAUACUGCCAUGACUCGAGUCCGGUAGGGGAGUGCGGAAUUCCUGGUGUAGCGGUGAAAUGCGUAGAGAUUGGGAAGAACACCAGUGGCGAAGGCGGCUAUCUGGACGGUUUGACACUAAGACUCGAAAGCGUGGGGAGCAAACAGG